AGUCGCUUUCAUUAUAGCCUAGAGGUAGGCUAAAUCAAGUUAGUAGGCUAUACCGGUGAUUGAUUUUUUAAAGUAUGAAUUUAGCUCAGGAAAACGAAGAUUCCAAAUAGAUUCGUUGUGGUUUCAUUUCAUGUGAAGAUUAUGUUGUCAGUUUAGGUCAAUUUACCUCAUAGCCAUUAUAUCUGGUUUCGUUUGUUUAGAAAUCCGCGUGCAGUUAUAUCUGUUGAAGUGUUGAUCGUGGUUUGGCCAAAAUAGCAUACAGUUAGUUCCCUCACUGGUUGUGCUUAAUGAUAUACUUACACAGACAAUGCUGAGACGGAAAGAGAGUCCACAGCCACCCGUACCUGAAUGGUGGGCUAUCGGACUCGAUUUAGUGAUUAUAUUUCAGGGCUGUCCAUUUCCGUGACUCGCUGCUGUUUUGUGAACGAUUCACAGCAAGGACAGCGACUAAUAAACCGGACAUUGCCACUUUAAAAACUGCCCCGGGCCAUUUGAAAAGCGCAGAGACAGAUGCUGCGUCGAGGCAAGAAGAAAAGAAAACAAAUGAAUUUCGAGGGCAAAAUCGACAGAUAUAUAACGCGCAUAAACUGAAACAUACACUGAAAUAUGUUUCUCCUCUGAGCGUGAGGACACAACAACGUCCUGACUCGCCUGAACAGUUUGUUAGUUGAAAACACACAA
rnacentral:lncRNA from 1 species